GACGAACGCUGGCGGCGUGCCUAAUACAUGCAAGUCGAACGCUGAAGGAUGAGCUUGCUUCUCUGGAUGAGUUGCGAACGGGUGAGUAACGCGUAGUUAACCUGCCUGGUAGCGGGGGAUAACUCUUGGAAACGAUAGCAAUUACCGCAUAAUAGUCGAUGUUGCAUGACAUUAGCUUAAAAGUUGCACUUGCAUCACUACCAUAUGGACCUGCGUUGUAUUAGCUAGUUGGUGAGGUAACGGAGCACUAAGGCAACGAUGCAUAUCCGACCUGAGAGGGUGAGCGGCCACACUGGGAGGGAGACACGGCCCAGAGGGCUACAGGAGGGAGCAGGAGGGAAACGUGAGGAAGGGACGGAAGGCAGAGCGAGAAACGCCGCGGGAGGGAAGAAGGGUGUCGGAUCGUAAAGCACGGUUGUAAGAGAAGAAAGAGUGUGAGAGUGGAAAGUUCACAGUGUGACGGUAUCUGACCAGAAAGGGACGGCUAACUACGUG
rnacentral:rRNA from 1 species